rnacentral:lncRNA from 1 species
CCACAUCCCGACAUUUGAUAAUAUUCUAAUUAACCAAGGGUGCAUGGUACAAAAUCUGGAGGCCAUCAGAAGAAAGCAGUAUAAAUUAUAGAUUAAAUAAGAAAGAAUAACGGAGAUCAAAUAAUUGCAAUGGGAUAAAGGCAUUUGGCCUUAUUUGGUGGGUUUGAUUGAACUCGAUAUUUAGAAAGGUUAGCAUCUCUUUAAAUUGACUUAUUAAACUUUUGAUGGUGGGUUCCUUCAAUUAUUUAUUUAAUCUUCUAAAAAAGAGGUUCCUUCGAUUUUUCACGCGAAUAAAAACCCCAUUAGCAUAUACCUCGUUCAAAAACUGUCAAUUACCCCAAACCCUAAUGUACUUAUCAUGGACUGAUAAAUUACCUCAAAAGGCUUUCUUCCCGUGUUUUUAUUUCUUCUCCAAACAAUGAAAAAGAAUCUUAUGCUAUACAAACCCAGAAUCUUAGGCUGAUAAUUAUCUUAAUAUUUAAAGGAAGAAUCUCCCACACAUGUGGGUGGCUAAUUAACAUGAUCAUGGAAGUGGAUUCUCUCAUUUGUUUAAGCCUAUUUUGAUUACAUCUCCAAUAACAAAAUUAUAAGAAAAGGAUCACCUUAAUUAAUUAGUCAUAGUCAUGUCUAAUCAAGUAUUAAAAAGACUAAUUCAGGUGUUAAUUUAUUAAGUUCGAUUCGG